rnacentral:rRNA from 1 species
CCAAUAGCGUAUAUUAAAGUUGUUGCAGUUAAAAAGCUCGUAGUUGAAUUUCGGGAUCAAUAUGUCGGUCGUGCCUCGGUACGUACUGGCGUAAUUGGUUUCUCCCUUCUGAAGAACCUCGAUGUCAUCAAUUUGGUGUCGUGGGGAAUCAGGACUGUUACUUUGAAAAAAUUAGAGUGUUUAAAGCAGGCGCACGCUUGAAUACAUUAGCAUGGAAUAAUGAAAUAGGACGUUUGAUUCUAUUUUGUUGGUUUCUAGGAUUGACGUAAUGAUUAAUAGGGAUAGUUGGGGGCAUUAGUAUUCAAUUGUCAGAGGUGAAAUUCUUGGAUUUAUUGAAGACUAACUACUGCGAAAGCAUUUGCCAAGGAUGUUUUCAUUAAUCAAGAACGAAAGUUAGGGGAUCGAAGACGAUCAGAUACCGUCGUAGUCUUAACCAUAAACUAUGCCGACUAGGGAUCGGAUGAUGUUAAUUUUUUAAUGACUCAUUCGGCGCCUUACG